rnacentral:rRNA from 1 species
UACGUAGGGUGCAAGCGUUAAUCGGAAUUACUGGGCGUAAAGCGUGCGCAGGCGGUUCUUUAAGACAGAUGUGAAAUCCCCGGGCUCAACCUGGGAACUGCAUUUGUGACUGUAGAGCUGGAGUACGGCAGAGGGGGAUGGAAUUCCGCGUGUAGCAGUGAAAUGCGUAGAUAUGCGGAGGAACACCGAUGGCGAAGGCAGCUCGCUGGCCUGCAACUGACGCUGAGGCGCGAAAGCGUGGGGAGCAAACAGG